UACGGAGGGUGCGAGCGUUGUCCGGAAUCACUGGGCGUAAAGGGCGCGUAGGCGGCGCGGUAAGCGUGCGGUGAAAGCCCGGGGCUCAACCCCGGGUCGGCCGUGCGGACUGCCGGGCUCGAGCACUGUAGAGGCGGGUGGAAUUCCGGGUGUAGCGGUGGAAUGCGUAGAGAUCCGGAAGAACACCGGUGGCGAAGGCGGCCCGCUGGGCAGUGGCUGACGCUGAGCGCGACAGCGUGGGGAGCAAACAGG
rnacentral:rRNA from 1 species